UACGGGAGGCAGCAGUGGGGGAUAUUGCGCAAUGGGGGCAACCCUGACGCAGCAACGCCGCGUGAAGGAUGAAGGUUUUCGGAUUGUAAACUUCUUUUAUCAGGGACGAAAAAUGACGGUACCUGAUGAAUAAGCUCCGGCUAACUACGUGCCAGCAGCCGCGGUAAU
rnacentral:rRNA from 1 species